CCCACAUCUGCCCCAUAGACACCCCACAUCUGCCCCACAGAUUCGCCUCCACUCGAUUCUCCCAUCGGGGUCCCUGCUGGAGAGGCGGGAGGGCGUGGGCCAAGCUCAUGAAUAUGAAAGAUUUAUGCAAAUCGCGACGCGGCGAGCGUGGCUAUGCAAAUCGACUCGCGGCAGCCUGUGUCCAUAUAUGGCGCGGCGACGUUGACGUCAGCCAAUGGGAUUGCGGCAGGGCACUGGAGUGGGCGGGGCUUAUGUUCGGCCACGCCCCCCCUCCGUAGCGGUUUAGCACUUUAAUGGGCGGAUCCCAGCGCCACCCGCUGGCCAAUCAGGAGUGCUGCUCCCAUUCCUUCAGCCAAUCAGAAUGCAUUCCUAGCGCAUUGGCCAAUCAGAAGCAUUCUGCUAUUCCUUUGGCCAAUCAGAAGAUUGUUCCUGUUCCUUCGGCCAAUCAAGCGGCAUUCCUUCAGCCAAUCAGAACUCAGUCCCGUCCCAUCGGCCAACCAGAAGCGUUGUUUCCGUCCCGUUGGCCAAUCAGCGCCCCCCUUAUGGGGCAGCGCUAUGGGGCGGCGCUAUGGGGCGACGCUAGGGAGCUCUGGAUCCUCCUCGAAGGACCCGAUGUCACCCAACGGGACCCAACGUCACCCAACGGGACCCAACGUCACCCAACAGAACCCAAUGUCACCCAAUGGGACCUGAUGUCACCCAACCGGACCCAAUGUCACCCAACAGGACCCAGUGUCACCCAAUGGGACCCAAUGUCACCCAAUGGGACCCAGUGUCACCCAACGGGACUCGAUGUCACCCAAUGGGACCCGAUGUCACCCAACACAACCCAGUGUCACCCAAUGGGACCUGAUGUCACCCAACCGGACCCAAUGUCACCCAACAGGACCCAGUGUCACCCAAUGGGACCCGAUGUCACCCAAUGGGACCCAAUGUCACCCAAUGGGACCCAACAUCACCCAAUGGGACCCAACAUCACCCAACAGGACCCAACGUCACCCAAUGGGACCCAAUGUCACCCAACAGGACCCAAUGUCACCCAACAGGACCCAACGUCACCCAAUGGGACUCGACGUCACCCAAUGGGACCCGAUGUCACCCAAUGGGACCCAAUGUCACCCAACAGGACCCAGUGUCACCCAACGGGACUCACUAUCACCCAAUGGGACCCAGUGUCACCCAACAGGACUCAAUGUCACCCAGCGGGACCCAAUGUCACCCAAUGGGACUCAAUGUCACCCAAUGGGACCCGAUGUCAUCCAAUGUCACCCAACAUCACCCAAUGGGACCCAACAUCACCCAAUGGGUCUCGAUGUCACCCAACGGGACCCAACAUCACCCAAUGGGACCCAAUGUCACCCAAUGGGACCCGAUGUCACCCAGUGGGACCCAAUGUCACCCAACAGGACUCAAUGUCACCCAAUGUCACCCAGUGGGACCCAAUGUCACCCAAUGGGACCUGACGUCACCCAAUGGGAUUCAAUGUCACCCAAUGGGACCCAAUGUCACCCAAUGGGACCCAACAUCACCCGAUGGGACCCAACGUCACCCAAUGGGACCCGACGUCACCCAAUGGGACUCGAUGUCACCCAAUGGGACCCGAUGUCACCCAAUGUCACCCAACAUCACCCAAUGGGACUCGAUGUCACCCAACCAGACCCAGUGUCCCCCGCUGUCCCCCGCCAUCACGCACCGUCCCGCACGCCGUGGGGCAGGCUCCCUGCCCUCAGCUGGCUCCAAGUUUCCCCAUCCUCCGCCCGUGGCCCCAGCGUCACCUCGGCCACCGUCAGCCCCAGGCUGUACACGUCCGCCGCCGCCGUCGCGGUGACGCCGCCGCCACCACCGCCGCCC
rnacentral:lncRNA from 1 species